GCAGGAGACUCUCCGGGUCGGAAGCCGCAGCCCUCGCACCACUAGCUGCGGGUCUCCCUCGAGAAGCGGGCCUGAGCGUAAGAACGGUAGGAGUCCGCUGAUCCCUGCGCCUAUUUCCUUAAUCCCUUGACUCCAGUAUAUGCAGGACCUGAUCCGCUAGUGCCCUGCUACCGAGCUCCACACUCAGGAUCCAUUCUCUGCGGGUGUAAGAAACAAAGUCCAGAGCUAGAGCGGGAAGACCAGAACGGCGAUUUUUAUUUUUUUAACCUGAAUGCAAACUUUCACUUUUCAUUUAUAAGAAGCAGACGGCUAACAAGAAAAGGUCGCUAAACGUUGAGAUGUCCACAGGGUUCAGGAUGAGACUGGAGGGUACUGGAACAGCCUUCAGCGUUCACGACCCGCAAACUCGUGGACAGGUGCUGGGGGCCAGGGAAGAGUGGCCUGCGGGGGGCAGGGGGCGGGGAGCUUCGCCUGGCGCCCCUCGCGGGAAUGCUUUAUUUAGUAAGACCAGGGAUCGUGGAGAAGAUCGAAGAUCAGUUUUACUUUCUUUUAUGUAUAUAUAUGUUAACUAAAUGGUGUGUGCACGUGAACUCAACAUCUCUUGGAAGUAUGGCUCCUUGGUGAACUCCAGAGUCUUGGGGACCAGUGCAAAGCAGGAAACCAACAAGCCAAUCCAGGUUUGCGAGCUAUUCGCAGUGCAUUUUCUUCCUUUGCUCUUUCUUCCUCAGAGUCCUGGAGAAGGGAGCCCGGGUUGCACCAGGAUUCCCUCAUGCCUAGGACUGGGAGCCUGGAGGAGAGCGGGGCUCCAGGGCAGGAGGAGGGCUCUGGGCCCUCGCGCGCAGUUUCCCAGCACCGUGGGAACCUCCCUCCCCCGGGACGCACGGCCUCGGCUCCGCCCAGCCCGGCCCGGGCUGAGCUGCCCACAGCCCCUCCUCUAUCCCCGAGGGAAUCCGAGUCCGCGGGUCGGGUCGCCUCGGGAGAAGCUUGUCUGGGUCAACGGCUGGGAAGAUGAGCUGGGUGCAGAAUGAAAGACGAUGAAGAGGCUGCGGCCUGCCAAACCUGAAUGUGCUCACGAGGGCUCACUGUUGAUCUCCCGAGGGAACAGGUGCUGCGUCUCAUCUGCCUUCCAAAUUCCACUCAAGUUACUCUUUUGGCCAAUUCUAAGUUUGAACAGGCAAAGCAAAGGAUUCUGGGAGCUGCACUUAACCAAGGUGACCAUAGCACAAUGCAGAACACACUCAAUACCUUCUCCCAGGCCUUCUGGAGAAAUGGUACGACUUUGAGGUCUGUUGUGAGAGGCAUGGAAGUACGAAAUCUAGGCAUUUAUAUGUGUGUGCACAGGGCAGGGGAGUAAAGGACCGUACUAUUAUGGUUUUGAAUGACUGAUCCAGCUCUCCUUCCUGCUGGAAAAUAGAAUCCAGCCUGACUAUUCUCAGUGUCCAAGAAUUUACACUUGCGGUUUCCAACAUUUGAUCUGACUGUU